AAUGAUGAUGGAGAGCUAUGUUUACUAGAAUGCAAUGAAAGCCAUAAAAAUAUAUGCAGUAAAAAAUUGGGGCUAAUUAAUAUGCAUAACAUUCACAUUUCAACAUGAAAUAACUGAAUAAAUAUUCAGCAGAACAUUCACCAUGCUGUGUCAUCAAGAUUCUGAGAGGGGCAUGCUUCGACCCACGGAAACUCACAGUCUGAGAGGGAGACAGACAACUGAAUACAGUAAAUAACAGCAUGAGGGCACAAUUUCAAAGUGGUCGCAACAGGAGGCAAAGUGGCAGGACACAGUUUAGCAAAAAUGGAAACCUUACCAAUGGCCGCUAUCAAUGCUCGUGCGUGUGUGUGUGUGUGUGUGUGUGUGUGUGUGUGUGUGUGUGCACUGCAUAGGUGUAUGUGUAGAUGUGUAAGAAAGAAGUCCAGAAGCUGGCAUCUGCUGGUCUUGAGCGAUCUCACUUUUUUCAGCAUGUUGUCAAUAUUCUGUAAUUACCACGGGCAUCUUUGAAAAAUGCAAAAGAAAAUCUUUAUUUAUUUAUGAAAGAUUUACUUGUGUGUGGGGGGGGGGCAUGUAUGUGGGAGGGCAUGUAUGUGUGUGAGUGUAGGCUGGACCUCUUGGAGGUGGAGCUAUAACAUAAGCAGGUUGUGCGACAACUGGCUUGACUUGAGUUACAGAACUUCAAUCUUCUGAAAAAAACAGCAAGUACUCUUAACCACUCCUUCAGUUCAGAAAAUAGUGUGUGUGUGUGUGUGUGUGUGUGUGUGUGUGUGUGUGUACACUAGGCUUGCUAAACUUUGCUUGCUUUAUUAUUACAUAUUAGGCUAUAUUUACACUUGGAGUUAUAAGUGCUUCCCAUUUUUCCUUAAUGUAAGUAAAAGAUGUAGAUUUCCUGACAUUUGAGUAUAUAUGACUUUGGCACAUUUAAAAGUAAGCAAGGCCUGGUAGUUCACACUUGUAAUUCUGAUGGUAAGAAAGGUGAGGCCGGAUUAUAGGUCCCAGGAAAGCCUGUGUUCCAUACCAAGACCCUAACUGAAGAAACAAAAAACAUACCAAACAAUAACGACAAUGAAAGAUAAGAGUAAUAGUAAGCUUUAACAGGAAAGUCCUCAGAGGCCCAAGGCAGCUGAUGCUGGAACUUGGCAAUUUUGUACAACUGAAUCCCUGCCAACUCCAAAGCAUCCAUUACAUCUCAAUAUGACAGUCCUCAAAAGGCUAUUGAAUUAUUUCUGAGUUCUCAUAAAGAUAUGCAGAAAUUAACUUGUGACAUACUUUAGUCCUUGCCAUAUAUAAUUUAUCUCUUCUAUUUAAAGGUCCCAGUACUUUUACAAGCUCAGCCCUGAGCUUCAUGUAAAACAAGAGGGUAGGGCCUUCCUGCUGACUGCUUAGAGAUUCUCCAAUGGGCCCAGAACCCCUACCCUGGGACACAAAGGGUGGUCCAGCCUUGGCCUCCAGGGAAUAUAUAGGGUAUCUAGCUCAGUCCAUUCUAGAGUACCCCAAGGGCUUACUCCUAACAUAGCUUUCAUGAAAAAAUAUUUGUAUGUGUUUUUCUUUGUAGAAGAUAUAUAGUCAUUCUUAUAAGAAGAUCUAUUUAAAAGAGAAAACAAGACAAUUUUCAAAUAUCCUCCCAGCUCUACCAUUGUCAGAGUUGUGGUAAGCUCACUCCUCAUCUAUGCCUAUGUACAGGCAGCACACCCCCCGGGAUUUUAAGCGAUGAGACCAUUCAGUUAUUCUUAGAACAAAGAAGUGGACGUAAAGCUCAAACGUAAGUAGACCUGAACUGGAGGGUGAUGAAGGGACUCCGAGCAGCUGCACCAUGGCUUCCAGGAGCCAGUGAUAGCAUAGUCUCCAAGCUUAUUUCGCAAAUAUGUGAGUUGUCCAUUUAUGAUUUAUGCACGUUUUCCAGUUCUGAUGUUAGCUUAACAGAUCACUUUAGUAAAGGAACCCUGCUUAAGUAAGUCAACAAACGAAUUAAGAAGACGGGCAGGGAGAAAUGUAUACAGUCCUGAAUGCACCAAAAUCAAUUUUUGUGUGUGUAGUAUUUAAUUUUCUGUGCCUUAAAAAAUUAAUUCAUUAUUUGUUAAUGCAUUUGCACACAAUUUAAAUAGGCAAUUCUUACAAGUGUUAGGUUGGAUAAAUGAGUAUUGGUUUUUCUUCACCGGUAUUAUAGUUAAGUUACAAGCAGCUUUGUAAAGAAUAUUCACAACCAAUGAAUAAAAAUUGGGGAAGUCUUACAUAUAGCAAUAGGGUGUGAAUUGGGGAGGUUACUCGACUACUUAAGGGCUUAAUCAAGGUGAUGUACAGUGAACACUACCAGGAGCUUGGGAGCUGACCAUUGAAGAGAACUCAAACAAGAAAACAGUAAGGAAAGGAAAGAGGAUGGCAGUGUAAGCUUAAGCUAAAGGAACCUGGACGCCCGCAUGCUACUGCUCUGCGCACAUUUAGAGAAAGACAUUUCAGCUGCAGUCAGAGAUGAGGACACAUGUUAGCAGCAUCUCCUUAGAAAUUUCACUCUAGCUACCAGCUUACUCAUGUCUUUCAAAGUCUUCUGUCUAUCAAAGUGAUUUUGCACCCAACAUCAGACAAGAGAGUUAUAGCCAUUAACUAGGUCAACGUUGUUUUCUCCAGUAUCCACAUAGAGAACACAUAGAGAAUUCUUUUGUCUCGUGACCUAAUGGACUGGUGCAGUAUCCACAGCACACCCUCUGUCCAUGCGGUACUUCCAUCUGAUGAAGAUAUGGAUCAAGUCCAAAUUUGUUUAUUUUCAGCUUCAUGAGCAAGCCCUCCCUAAAAUACUGCAAAAAAAUAAAUAAAUAAGAGAGACAUUUGCUCUCAUUAUAGCACUGGCAUAUGUGCUAUAAUUUUUAAUGCUCUUGGCACGAUCUUUAAGAAGAAACUCAGAGCCAAACAACUAUCUAUGAAGUGUCACCAGAUACUAAAGUUACAGGAGAUGUGACCUUGGACUUGUGGCCACUGGAAGGCUAAGAAAUGAAUCUGUGUUUCUUAUAAAAGACCCAAUGAAAAAUAUUUUGUUGUAAUAAUCUGAAGAGACUCAGGCAAAGACCUGACCAGCAAUGAUGAAUUACAAGGGGCCCUUCCUUCACGAUUAUUGUGCUACUUGCUCCCCAUCCCCAUCUUUGCCUCUUUCCACACUCAGCUCUGAUCAGUAGCCAGUGUGGACAAAUGUACCUUUACAGCAUAGCCUGCCUCACUUUACUUCUCAUGUCUCCCAGCAAUCCCGAUUGGAUGAUACUUUAGAUAGAUUGGAUGCAGUGUGCCCCAAAGGCUUCGUGUGUUGGAUUCUCAGGGUAGCACAUAAGGAAGUGAGGCCUGGAGGAAAGUCUUUAGGUCUCUGAGAGCCUUAAGGGAUCAAGGUAGGACCCUUGACUUAGCUCUCAAAAACACAGCUUAGUUUAAAAGUUAAGGCCGACAAGAAUAGCUCUCAACCUUCCUGCCUGGCAACUUCACUCUCACAUUCAUUUAUGCCACCAUAUUGUUAGCCAUGAAGUCCAUAGCAGAUAUGAGCUGAUCCUAACACUGUCUCUUUAACCUCCAGAUUGGGAGCAAAAUAAGCAUCCUUUCUUUACAAAGUUAACCUGUUUGGUUAGUUGGUUGGUUGGUUGGUUGGUUGGUUGUUGUUUGUUUUGUUUGUUUUGUUUUGUUUUAGCUAUUUCAUUAUAUGAUCCAAACCAAACAAAUGACAAGAAACCCAAACAGCUGACAUUGGAAACAUAGGAGGAAAAAUGUCCUCAGUGAGUUGUUUUAAGACUGCUAUGAGUCUGCCUAGGCCUGGAUCUCCUCCAAUAAGCUUGCAAGACUGUGUGGUGAGUAGGGUUUCUGGUAUGGGAAGAUGGUUCUCUUAUAAACUGAUAGCCAGGCAAGCAGGCAAACCCAAUGUAAAUGCCCUGUAUGUGCAUUUGAACCUCUCAGUGCUGAGGCAGAGGAGGCAGGUGGACACUUGGCACUCACUGACCAGUCAGUCUAACUAAUCUGUGAGCUCUAGGGUCAGAAAGAAACCCUGUCUCAAAAGAACAACAACAAAAGGGAGAGAGAGAGGAACAGAGACAAUCUAUGCCAAUCCCUGACUUCCUGCUACAUGCAUACACAGGUAUACAUAUCCACAUAAACAUGCGUGCACACACAUACACACACACACACACACACACACACACACACUCACUCACACAUUCACAUACUAUAAAAUCAAUGUGUGUCCAUACAAAAGCACUUCAGUGUGCCACCCAUUGAUACAAGUAUAAUAAUUCUAAAAUAUAUAUUUCAAGACAAAGAUAAAAAACCUACUAAAUACAUGUUUGUAAACUACUGUCUGGAAGUAUCCACACAUUUCCUUUGCUUUGAAAUAACUUUAAACUGUUUGCCACUGUACAGGUUGGCUUUCCUUAUCCAUGUGCCCUUUAUGUUUCUAAAUAAAACAAAUUUCAAAAAAGAAGAAGAAUCAGAGGACAGAGUCCUGGAGGGACUGGUUAUUUGCUAUAGCACACAGCAAGCCCCAACAGGCUCCCCAUUCUAAUGGGGUCAAGGAGAACAUUCUAGGCAAUGCCUUCUCUCUGGGAAGCAGGAGACCUCAUCAGGCUUGUAUGGUGAGAAGCCUGAUAGGUUUCCUUCCCUUGGGAAAACAAACAAACAAACAAACCUUCAUGACGAACUAAUUCUCCCUUCCAAUCAAAGACUGCCUCACCUGCAACUGUUUUUAGUCUAUAAGUGGAACUACUCCUUAGAAAGUGCUCCUGUAAGCACUUUCACUUUGGAGUCUGUCAUUAAGAAAAGCCCAUUCAGACUGGGUGUAACUAGGGAAUUCUUUCUGAACUCCUUAACAGCAAUUAAUCAGCAUACCCAGAGGACAGCUAGAUGCAAGUGUCUUGAAGUUCCCAUCCACACUACACCUUCCUUCCAACUCCUCAGGUUAAGUCGGCUGUCCUUAAGGGCCUGCAUUUUUUUUUCAUGCUGCAAGUUUAACUUUAUUACAAUUCAACAAUCUCGGCCCCUGACUUCUUCAUCUUAUGUCUGAACUGUACAAGACUGGCCUUGUGUUUAUGCCCGUGACUAGAGCCCUCACUAGAGGCAACAGUUCAGCCUGGUCCUUGGUAAUCCCCAAAGGAAUGUUCUCAGAAGAAAGAAGAAAGGAAAAUCACCGUGCUUCAAAACUUCAAGCACAAAGCAUCAGAACACCAAGAGUCUCAUUUCAGGUCCAGGAAGCUGCUAAAAUGUUCACAAGAAUGGAUGGCAGCAGAUGAUCACAAGAGAGUGGGAACCUUGACCUUGGCCUUGCUGUUUUAUUUCUUGGAUCUGCAUGCUUAGGAGUGACCUAGAAUAACUGGAAAGACAGACAGGCAUCUAAAAAUCCCCACACUCCAUCAGAAAUCUCUUCAUUCAUCCAGAUUAUAAACAGAAUAAUGAUUUCCCACACAUCAGCUGUGCAGUCAGAUAAGUAUAUUUCAGGCACCCCUUCUGUAUAAUUAGAGUUUUUGUUUUCUUUUAAAUGUUAUAUAAUCUUGUGGUCAUCAACAUCCUUCACCCUUUCAUUCUUCAAGGGAAACACUUAAAGUCUUCACUUAAUAUAAAUUCUUCCCCACCCCCCGCCCCGUGUCAGCGAUGACAAUGACUAGGAAAUCAGUUGAAAAAGCUACAAAGGCAGCAGAGACCAUGGAAUAGCCUCUUGCCAUGUCCCCCUGAGAAUUCUAAGACCCCAUGUUUAUGGUAAGGUGCACUUCGCUCUGGCAAUGGCUGGAGUGAAUUGAACUAACUUCCCACAAAGCUUUCCUUGACCUCUUGAGCUCCUGUUGCUGUCACCUGCAGACAGUGUUGAAAGAAACAACCACUUAGAAGUUUUCUCCAGGACUGUGGCAUGUCUGCAGGAGAGUGUGAGGCUCACAGAACUCUGACAACUCAGGAGGCCGAAAAGAAAGCGGGCUUAGUACAAAGAGUCCGUGCCCCCAUGAAAACAUUGAGAUGACAGCCCAUCCGUUCUUUAAAGAGUCACAUGGAAAUUAAAGCUAUUUUCAGAGGGAAAAGUAUACUCUGAUACAGUAUUAGGGCAAGGCUGAAAUUCCAGGUCACCGGUGGAAAUAUCCUUUCUUGACAAGGCCAGCAAGUGCUUCUUAUUAAUUAUUAUUAAUUACAAGGCACAGGUACCUAUUAACCCUGGCGUGAAAGGUGUCACUUAAGAAAAAAAUAAAUCAGGCUCUGGUGUGAAGGGUGUCCUUUCCCCUCUAGUGAUACCUGACUGUGUCUCAGAGCUCAAGUGACUGUUCACUCUCAGGCUACCAAUAGCCAUGGUCACCAGCACCCGCUAAUCCUCCUCCCCCAGGUUACAAAUGAAGUCUGCAGAAAACUCCCAAGAGCCUUACCAUUGCGAUGAGAUCUUCCUGCCUUGCAGAGUC